CCUACGGGAGGCAGCAGUGGGGAAUAUUGGACAAUGGGCGAAAGCCUGAUCCAGCAAUGCCGCGUGUGUGAAGAAGGCCUUCGGGUUGUAAAGCACUUUAAGCAGGGAAGAAAAAAUCGGCGUGAAUAUCGCCGAUCUUGACGGUACCUGAAGAAUAAGCACCGGCUAACUCUGUGCCAGCAGCCGCGGUAAUACAGAGGGUGCGAGCGUUAAUCGGAUUUACUGGGCGUAAAGCGUGUGUAGGUGGUCAGGAAAGUCGGUUGUGAAAUCCCCGGGCUCAACUCGGGAACUGCUUUCGAUACUUCUUGACUCGAAUUCGGUAGAGGGAGGCGGAACUCCAGGUGUAGCGGUGAAAUGCGUAGAUAUCUGGAAGAACACCAAAUGGCGAAGGCAACCUCCUGGGCCUGAAAUUGACACUGAGACACGAAAAGCGUGGGGAUCAAAACAGGAUUAGAUACCCUGGUAGUCCACGCCGUAAACGANAGAACUAGACGUCGGUUGUCUCUGCGAAUCGGUGUCGUAGCUAACGACGAUAAGUUUCCCGUCCCGUCGGGGAGGUACGGCCGGCCGAAGGUUAGUAAAACUUAAAAUUAAGUAAGUUAGUACGGCGUGAGACGUGCCGAACGGACGACCGAACGAAGGGGAAGGUUAGG
rnacentral:rRNA from 1 species